rnacentral:rRNA from 1 species
AGUGAACGCUGGCGGUAGGCCUAACACAUGCAAGUCGAACGGCAGCACAGUAAGAGCUUGCUCUUACGGGUGGCGAGUGGCGGACGGGUGAGGAAUACAUCGGAAUCUACUUUUUCGUGGGGGAUAACGUAGGGAAACUUACGCUAGUACCGCAUACGACUUACGGGUGAAAGCAGGGGAUCUUCGGACCUUGCGCGAUUGAAUGAGCCGAUGUCGGAUUAGCUAGUUGGCGGGGUAAAGGCCCACCAAGGCGACGAUCCGUAGCUGGUCUGAGAGGAUGAUCAGCCACACUGGAACUGAGACACGGUCCAGACUCCUACGGGAGGCAGCAGUGGGGAAUAUUGGACAAAGGGCGCAAGCCUGAUCCAGCCAUACCGCGUGGGUGAAGAAGGCCUUCGGGUUGUAAAGCCCUUUUGUUGGGAAAGAAAAGCAGCAGGUUAAUACCCCGCUGUUCUGACGGUACCCAAAGAAUAAGCACCGGCUAACUUCGUG